AGAACGAACGCUGGCGGCAGGCUUAACACAUGCAAGUCGAGCGCCUCGCAAGAGGAGCGGCAGACGGGUGAGUAACACGUGGGAACGUGCCCAAAGGUACGGAACAACUCCGGGAAACUGGAGCUAAUACCGUAUGUGCCCGAAAGGGGAAAGAUUUAUCGCCUUUGGAUCGGCCCGCGUCUGAUUAGCUAGUUGGUGAGGUAAUGGCUCACCAAGGCGACGAUCAGUAGCUGGUCUGAGAGGAUGACCAGCCACACUGGGACUGAGACACGGCCCAGACUCCUACGGGAGGCAGCAGUGGGGAAUAUUGGACAAUGGGCGCAAGCCUGAUCCAGCCAUGCCGCGUGAGUGAUGAAGGCCUUAGGGUUGUAAAGCUCUUUCGCCGAGGACGAUAAUGACGGUACUCGGAUAAGAAGCCCCGGCUAACGUUCGCGCCAGCAGCCGC
rnacentral:rRNA from 1 species